AGGGCACAGAUCCACAGAGACAUGGGGAAAGGUGGAAAUGGAGAGAGAUGCUGCUCCCUGCUCGUUUUCUCAAAAGGAUCAGGAGGGCGGAAUCCCUGAGCAUCCUGCUGUGGGCAAGGGCUGGAGCACCAGGACCCUGUGUCCUACAGGCAGCAUGGACAGUGCUGGGCUUCAGUGCAGCUAUGGCACCAACUGAGGACAGAUCUAAAGAGUGAAAACAAAAGAUAACCCAGCCCACGUGUUGGAACAUGGCUGGAUACCAUUGACUUGAGUGGAAUUUCACUUCAGCAGAGGUUUACUCCAGUCAUGGUACUAUAUUUGGAAAGAUAAACAUGAGUGUAUGCCUAUAUCCUGAAUGCAAGUUAAUCGAGUUAGAUAAGAUGAGAGAAAGUAAAUGGCCGUAAGUGAGAUAAUGAGUGAUUAAUGUACCCUGUGAACAACAAGAGCACUCUGAGUGACACACCAACUGCUCCCACCGAAGCCCAGUGAUGAAUAUAGCAAGAGGAAGAUGCGUUAUGUGUACAGUAUGUAAAAGGAUCUGCAAGGGAGUUAAGGAUGUUUACGCAGCCAUAAAGAGAACAGGUGCGAGUAUGACUCUGAAGAAUACCCAACAUCCUGUUUAUCAGGGGAAGUCUCAUGUUUUUUUUCAUGGAAAGAGUCACCUUUGUAUUUGCCCCUCUGGACCAAAGAAAUAGGGAGUAAUAGUAAAAAUAGCUGCAGUACCAAACCUUCUUCCUGAAAGCUGCUUUGCAUGGGGGGGUGGUUGAAAGGCUCAGCUUGUGCAGUCAGCUCCCGGUUGGGAGCCCUGCUUUAUCUUGAUGCGAUAGAAUGAUUUCCAUCUGCUUGGUUGGAGCAGAAACCCUCUCAAUUUCUGACAAUACUUGGCAUAGUGUUGACAUGAGAACUACAAUUUUCCAUUGUUGUUUUGACCCUCAGAUAACUUCUUUUAUGGACAAAAGGUUACUAGCUGCACGUCUUCUAUUUAAUGUAACUGGCAUUCUGCCACGUUGGCUUUUCUGCUUCAUUUUCAUUAGCAGAAGGAAACUGUGAGACAGUGGCUGCAUGCAGACAACUUCACUCCUUUCUAGUAUGGCUGUGCUGAGUGGCACUGAAGGGUGAUAACCUUGGCACUGGAGACAUCAACUGUAGAGUUAACUACAUCUUGGUGAUUUCCAGAUCCACAUUAGAGAUGGAAACUUUCUUUUGUUUUUUUCAGGUCAGUGAAAGCCAUUUAAUGCUCCCAAGAGUCAAAAAGCAUUUUUUCCAUCUUCUAUAUAAUGAAAAGCAAUAAAUAUUUUAUUAGGCCCUAUCAGGGCUGUAGCAACAGCAACACAGAGGCUGUGAUGCACGUGUGCAGCUUUGCAAAUUGUUUUAUUAACGAUGCUCAAAAUGGAAUAAAGCCACAUUCCCUUUAGCGCAAGAGAGUCUGGAGUGGAAACUCAGUGAGGGACAGACAGGGCUGACCAUCACAAUGGCCCCUGGUGUUGCAAGUGAUGGGGAGCCUGGUCAGGAGCAAGGGGUUACGGAGAGUGGGGGUGCAGGCUCUGGCUGUGGGGCCCAGGGCAGUGGGAGGGAAGAAAGAGUUGCAGCUGCUCAGUCACCCUUCUUGAGAAAGAAGGAGCAUGUUUGUGCAAUGGCUUUGCUAAAAAGAAAAUUUGCAGGUUUAAGUCAGAUCAGGCAUAGAGCAUUUACCAAAAAAUUUAAAAAUCAGGAAAAAAGAGUCAUAUUUUUUUUUUAGUUUUAGGCAUGUGUUACUGUUCACAUAUGGUGAACCUGAUAGCUUUUUUGCUGAAUAAUGGCAAUAAUAAAGUAUCUUUAAAAACAAAUGCACAUCUUUAUGUGUGCUGCAAAGCUAUUUAAACUGUAUUUACAAAAUGUAACCUCUGACUGAACUUUGAAAUGUCUGCUUCUAGAAAUAUAAGCCAAAAACCUUUUUAUAGCACCAUACUGACAAGGAUAACUUAUGUAUUUCACAGUAUAGAAAAUCCUGGAGGCAGCGUUAUUUUUAGCUGUGUAACCUUUAAGCGUAUUCAUCUAUAUACUAGUAAAUUAGUUUUUAACAGGUGUAUGACUUAAUAUAGCAAGACGAUGAAUUACAGAUGUGGGUAAUGUCUGUCCAAAUUGCUUUUUUCCUGGCUCUAAAUUAUUCAUCUGGAAUGGCCAGAAGCCAGCUAUGGGAAUUAUUGAUAAAAGUGAGUUAAGAAUAGAUUAGAACAUUUCCCUUGUGAAGUAUAAUGUGUCUCUGUUGACUGCAUUAUUUUCCAUCUUCCAUUAAGCGCUACAAACCAGACUUUUUUAACCCAAUUUUAAACUAUUCAUGUUCUAUUUAAAUUCUAUUUUUAUAAAUGCUUGAGUUCCUUGUUUACAGUGUGAGGGAUGUUCUUUUAAAGGAAAUAACAUUGUUGUAAGCAACAAGACAAACAUUUCAGCAUUUUGCUUAGGGUUAGUUUUUCCGGAAAAGUAAAACUGUGUCUUGCCGGUGGCUGAGCUUGGUGGCUGAAAUGUGCAAUACCCAUUAAUUUUAGUUGGUGGUGCAAGUGCAGUCAGUAUUCUCUUGUGAGUAUAAAAGUUUUAGACCAGCUGUGGUUUUGUACAGUUUUUUGUUCUCUUUUUUCACUAUUGCUUUUUAUUUUUAAUAAAUCCAGGUUCCUAAGAAGAUUAAAAGAGUCUUUGGCCUGUGCCAAAAUAUGAAAGGAUGGAUUUACAUAUGGGAAUUCAUAGUGAAAAAGCACAGUUCAUUCUAAAACAUAAAAUAAAUGAGGUUUUCAUCUACAGGAUGUGCAAGAAAGCUUUAAUAACUCUGAAAAAUAAAUGAAGACUGUACAGUGGUGUAAUAAAUGUGAAGUGACUAUGCUCAUAAGGACUUCUAUUGUAAUGCAGUGAAAUUGAAUGCUUUGUUGCAUCUGCUAUUGAUUUGGCCUCCCACCUGCCAUAGAGAGGUUAUAACUGAAAUUAAGAAAACAGGCUAGAAAGGUUAAAAAAAAUUCAGUAAUGAGGAAACAAAAAGACAUAGAAACACUGAGUUGUGGUGAACAGCUGUAAGGAAGGAGUGCUCAAAACAGUAAUAUUGAAUAAUUCUGGUGUUCUGCACUAUAAGUGUGGAGAAAGGACAGCGGCGAUAAGGAGAUACGCACCAGUGGUUAAAGAUUCAGCUCUUAACUCUGACCUUGUCUUCUUGCGUCAUUAGCAUAUAUUUUCUUAGUUGUUUUUCUCCAGUGUGUAAUGAAUAUAAUUCUUUCUCUUACAUAUAUUGUUAUAUUGUCAGAAUUAUUUAUUUCAACAAAUGCUUUUUUUUCUUUUCAGUCCUGAGAUGGAUGUUAUCUGUUGUGUACUACAUUUUCAUGUGUCUUUUAACUGUAAGAUAACUGUAAAACAGACUGCAGGUCAUCACCUGUACUGGUAACACAAGAGUCAGUGUCAUCCUAAGCAUCUUCCCUGGCGACUUCCCUGCCUCUGAUCUUUCUCCAACUCCAGAUUUCUGAGCUAUUGGAUAUGGUGGGUAACUUGAUAAUGUGAGUAAAGAAAGUUUGUCUUUAGUUGUGUGGAGGUUAUCUGAGGUGCAAGUUGCAAGUUGCACACAUGAAGAUACUGUAUUUACAAUGUCCAACCUUCUUAUUUUCUUCUCUCCUGUCUUUGAAUUUGUGUGUAACUGGGACAACUGGGAAUACCAUAAUGGUGUGAACUGUGGUGGUGCCUCUCAAUGAAAUGUCAUUGACAUUGCAGUCAUUAUUCAAAUGGUCUUCUCCUAGAAAAGGAGAUUUGGUAAGAAAUAGCAAAUGAGGUCUUUGUGGGAAAUGGAAGCUGAAUGACAAAAUUAUCUAACAUACAUAACAUUGGUAGAGGCUGUGCAAUAAAUUAUCAGAGUUAGCAAAGUAUAGUCACAGAAACAGAAGAAAAUUGGAAGUAGAAGAUAGCUCCUGUGCUAUUUAAAACCAAUGCUGUCUCUCAGAAGAUUCUUUUUCUAUCUGUUAGUGUGCUAACUUAUAUAUCACAUCAUUAGACAUAUGCAGGUUUUUAAGGUUACUGUUGUUAUUCCACCAAGUCUCAUUACUUCUUAUAUUCCCUUGUUAUUCUUCAUGCUCCAGCCAAGAUAUAUCUUGAUGGCCAGGAUGAAAUUUUUGAGGUAUUCGGCGUUGUUUACCAUGGCAGCCUGGCCAAUGCAGCAGCUUGUUUUGCUGAUUUUUCUUCUUCCCUGCUCUACCUCUUCCUUCCUUUGCCCUUUGCUUGCUUUUUGCUAUGCAAUCCUGCCCCCUCCCUGAACCAGAUCUGAACCAUAACUGAGUUAAUUUAUCUUUCUAACAUAAGAUAAACCAUAUUACACUUUUUUUUUUUUUCCUGGAUCAUUUUCUGCUAGUUCAAUGAGGUAAAAGGGAAGGGCCUGACAAGUGCCCGAGCAGAUCCUGGGCAAGCUGGCUGAAAGCAGGGGAUGGCUGGAAAAUCACAGUCUGUGCAGGAGGGAUUUUUCCAGAAUGCCACGAGAGUCAAGUCUUACGGCAUCACAUCUGUUUGUACUUGUUCUGCUGACAGGCUAUAGAGGAACUGUAGGUCUGUACACUUGGCCUAAACACACCAGUCUGGCAAAAAUUUCGGGUUUAGAGAGUACAUGUCAGAAGAAAUGCAUCCAGAACUGUGGCGCAAGCCCAAUGUGGCACAAUGGGAAAUACUUGCCUGGUUAACCUUGGCACUGUCAUUUCCUUUCUCCUUGUACAAAAAGUUUUCUCUUCCUGGACUUGUUUUUCCCUGAACCAUUUUAGUCUUCCCUCAUGGAAAUUAUGCAAAUGUCAGUGUGCGCACAAAAAAAAAUCUGACAAUGGCACAAAAAGUACAGGACUAAAAUAGGUUUUGCUAAAAAAUAAAAAAAAAAAAAAAAAAGGAUCAUUCUAUGUAGCAAUGGGAGACCUCAUUUCCUUGUUAUAUAAAAAAUGAACUAUGAAUUUUAAGGAAAGUCAGGGUGCACAAAUUUUGUGACAAGGAUGAAGUAAAAAACCAAACUAUCAGAUCUGAAAGUGAAUUCGUUUGCUGCUCCGCAUCUUUAACAACUGAAAGAGUUCUGCUCGUGUUUCAAAACAAUCUGACCUUCUCAUAGGGGCCAGGCGUGAAGCUUUUUGCCAAAGGUGAAUGGUUUGGAAAACUCUGAGCAUGUGUGAAAAGGGAAACAGUGGAAACUAUUCUGUGUUUGGAGCACGCUUGUGUGGUGGAAAGCAGCGAUGUACAAAUGUCAGCCUCUUACUAAAUAGGUCCAUGUCCUACGUGUGUGACCAGCUUCAGCUUCUUCCCUGUUUCAUGUCCCGCAUGUGGGUUGCUACAAUCACUGCAGUCACUGUAUAGGUGUUGGUGUUUUAGUUGCUUAGCACUUCAUGCUGUCCCAGCCCUGGCCACAAGUGAGUUGCUCUGCAGUGAGGGGAAGGCUGCAGUUCCUCAGUUCAAAGAACACCUAGAUGGAGAUAGCACAAACACAACCCAGAAAUUUAGGCACAGACGGGCAUUUUCUUUGCAGGCUUUUCUCUGCAGAUCUUCUCCUGCUUCAUUCUUCCAGGUGUUUGCAAUGCCACCAGUGCCAGCAGUGUCCCUGUGUGUGCAGUGCCACCAGUCCCAGCAGUGUCCCUGUUGGAGGCACCUGCAGAAAGCUGGGGCUCUGCAGUACAGAGCUGGGAAGCGUGGUAGAGGCCACCCUGCCCUGUGAAAUGUAGCUGUCCUUUUGCCAGGGUCUGAUAGAGAAGGAUCAGGUUUGUCUUUCCUGAAUGUCACUCCAAAACUUCCCAGAAAGGAAGCACUGAGGCCCAUAAUGCCACUAAAGUCAAUAUAGUUUCUCUUAGUGUUUUACUGAUAGCUUGGGGUCCUAAAUUGUGACAGGAGCCACCCACAAAUGUCUAAUUUGACAUAAAUACAUGUAUUACACAUUGCUACAUUUAUACUUCAGCUUUCCAUCAAAUUUCAAGCUUGUUUGAGAACUCCUGAGGUGUAAAAGGCAGGCAUAAAUGACCUGAAAAUGAGUGUUGUUUGUCUGACAGGGGAAGUUAAUAAUGUUAGUCUUUGAGGGAGCUACAGUAAGAAACAUAAAUAGGAGCAGAACACUGUGUUCCUUGGUUGGUGUCUUGCACUAAUCCUGACACGUGAGCAAUCUACCAACACAAAUAACGUUAUCAGAUCAAAAUCUCCAGCCAAUAAUAAAUCACUCCUGGCAUUAGCAAGGCUCUUGCUGUGCAACAAUGUGACCUCUAGUCAGGAAGAGAUUCUAUAUAUUUUGUCAGAAAUGCUUGCCUUUGGUAAGAAGCAAGUUGCACCAGUAGUUGGGAGAUGUGCGGCACAAGUUGGAAAAAACAGGAGAGAUGUGGAAAGGUGUAAAUUGAUGCAGAAUAUGUAUUGAUGAGGUUAUCUUCCAGCUACCCAGAACAGCUGCAGAGGCCAGUAGCCAUUUACAAAACACAGGAGAAGUGAGUGGACAGCAAAUGCUGGGCGACAUAUGUGUUAUAGCUCACAGUUGGAUGUUAUUGAUUACAAAUGGCUCACUUAGCUUAUGCUGACAAAGGUGAACCUUCCCAAAGAUGUGUAAUACCUGAAAAAAUGAUUAUAGGUAGAUAAUGAAACUUGCUUUCAAAGUUAUUGGCAUUUCCAUCUACAGAAAAAAUUGUCUUUUCAUCAUAAAAACUAUUUGAGAGUAACACUCAGUGUAGAAACCCCAGUAUAAAAUAUGAGACUAAUUUGCCCCUUUGAAGUGAGCUGGAUGUGGAAGAGCAAAGUUCAGUACUCUUUUACUUACAGUCAUCUCGGUGGCAGUGGGUGUUCAUUGUAACCGAGUGCCUACAUGCUGUCAGCAUCCAUCAGUGCAUUGCAGAUAGAUCCCAAACCAGGAGCUCUAGGGUUUUCUUGUUUCUUCCUCUGCAUUUUCCAAGCCUUUGUACUCCUAAUCACAGACUGUAUCAAGUGUCACAAUGGGUGAAAAAAAGCAUUAGCAAGAACAUCAAGACACACUAUUUCUACUGGAAAAAUAAGAAGUGUUUGGUUCAAAAUUAUUGGCUAGGCUUAAACUCUUUUGAAGUCAAUAGUGAGAGCCUACUGACCCUACUGCAAGAUGAGCUAUUUCAAGAGAGCAGCACAAACAUUCAGAGCUACUUAGCUAGAAGGAGCAGACUAUCUCAAAACCAAGACAAACACCACAUUAAAUGCACAUAUUUAUUGCUUGUGUACUAAGCAGAAAAAGAAGGGUAUACAGCACACCAGGAGAGAGCAACAAGAGAGAUAAGGUAACUUCUGUUUUACACCAUGAAAUUGCAUCAGACAACACAGUGUAUCUAUUUGUGAAUAGUGUAAAUGAACCAUGAAGAAGUAAAUAUGAAGGGAUCUGUGCUGUUAGAUAUACAGCUGAUGGUAGAGGACAUUCUCUGUACUGUCUGCACAGUACAAGAGGAGGAAGGAAGGGAAGGUUGCAUGAAAGCAGUACCAAGCAGUCAGGAUUUCCUGCCCCAAAAUUUCUGGUGAAUGUCCCAGAACAGUGUGUGUUACACAAGUAGAUAUUGCAUCAGUGUAUAAAUUUUACGUAUAUGUUUGUGUCAAAAGAACAUGAUCAUGGGUGUGAAAUUGGGCAUGCAAAAGAAAUGCUUGAAUUAUAGUUGCUUGUAAAAUUUUUCUUAGUCCUCCCUGAGUAUAUGCAUCAAGAUAUAGUAAUUAAAUUUAGAAUACAAUAACUGCUUUGAUUUCCAAAGACACUUUAAAUGCAUGCAGUUGUCCUAAUUUGACACAGCUGCAGCCAGCUCGUACCCUCAUCUCUGUGCAGAUCGUUCACAGGUAGAUGACAUACAAAAUCUGCAUGGAACUGGUAUUUUUUUGUGCCCUUCUGCAUUCUCUAGUUUCUGUACUGCUUUGCCAUUGCACAGUAUGUCUAUAAACAUAACCCACAGUCACCUUUUGUACUUUCUAAUUUUCUCCCUAAACAAGCAUGGUCUGAUCUGGACUUUGCAGUAAUCUCCAAUGUACAAGCAAUCUAUCUCCAGUGAUGCAGAAAAGGAGUCACAACCUCUGUCAGUGAUCCGGGCUUGCGGGCAGGAGGAGGUGCGGGGCUUCACCUUAUAUUUGAAGGCAAAUAUGCAAAACUUUGCACAGAACAAGGGUACUCAGUUAUUCACCUAACACAUGCAGAAAUGUUCUGUGGCUGCAGAGAGGUGUCAGAGCCAGAGUAUGCAAAACAGAACCUGGGUAGAAGAUGGCUGCAGAACCCUGCAGUAGAAGAUGGCCGGUGAUGGAAACACCUUCCUACCUUCCCCCCCAUACAGUGGCUUGCAGCACUGCUCUCUAUCCGUGGGGCUCACAGGCACAAACUCAAACUCUUGUCUCACUUUGAAAUUUAUCCAUGAGCCAGCUCCUCUGCAGAGCCCACUGGCAGCAGCAAAGAACAAACUGGCAUUGGGGACCUCACUUCAUAGAGUUUUGAUAAACUGUCUCAGAGAUUUGUAGGUGACACAAGCAGUUUCUCUGAAAGAGUAAUCAAAAGUCCUCGAAGUGUUUAAGGAAAAUAUGGCAAAAAUUUAAGUCUUGUAUUAGAAAAGUUGUUUGUAUCAUUCCUCAGAGAAUUUAUUUAUAAAUAAUGUUGUCUUACGCUAAUAUCUUGUUCACCCAGUUGUAUCCCAUCUUCUUUCUGGCUCUUGAAAUGUUUAGAUAGAAAAUACAAAUAUAUCUCCUUAUGCUUACUUA